rnacentral:rRNA from 1 species
AAUACCUAGUCGAGCGGCGGACGGGUGAGUAACGCGUGGAUAAUCUACCUUUUGGUGGGGGAUAACCCGGGGAAACUCGAGCUAAUACCGCAUGAGAUCGAAAGAUGAAAGGGGCGCAAGUCCCGCCGGAAGGGGAGUCCGCGUCCGAUUAGCUAGUUGGUAGGGUAAUGGCCUACCAAGGCGACGAUCGGUAGCCGGCCUGAGAGGGUGAUCGGCCACACUGGAACUGAGACACGGUCCAG